rnacentral:snoRNA from 1 species
CCAUAGACACAGUAUAUACUGUGGCCUCCUUUGCCCUAGUGACUGGUAGUGCAGGGAGAGGGAUGUUGAAUGAUGUUUCCCCCAUGUUUGAAGGGUCCACCCCCACCGCUUCCCAACCCUGGAGCUUUCACACA